GACGUAGGGCGCGAGCGUUGUCCGGAUUUAUUGGGCGUAAAGAGCUCGUAGGCGGCUUGUCGCGUCGGUCCGUGAAAACCUGGGGCUCAACCCUGGAAUGCCGGUGGAAACUGUCAGGCUCGAGUCCGGAAGAGGCGAGUGGAAUUCCCAGUGUAGAGGUGAAAUUCGUAGAUAUUGGGAAGAACACCGGUGGCGAAGGCGGCUCUCUGGACCGAUACUGACGCUGAGGCGCGAAAGCGUGGGGAGCAACAGGG
rnacentral:rRNA from 1 species